GGCAAGGACACCUGGAAAAUCUCAGGGAGGCAGAGCGCUGGUAUCUGAGCAGCCGCAUCCUGGGGAUGAGGGGUUACUCCCUCCCUGGGGCUUGGGCUGGUCUCCUCUCCCGCGGCCUGCUGUCCUCCUCACUCCUACACAGAAGCCCCCGGAGCCGAUGGAGCCUGUGAGUGAGGGUGAAUGAGAAAGAGAAAGCAAACGAGAGAGUUUGCUCCCCUGAAAUCCUGGCCAGCGGUCAUGGCUUUGGCUGCGGAAUUUCUCUGAGGGAGAGUGAUGGAAAGCCCAGAGAUUACCGAGCAUCUGAGAGGAGUCAGACAUGGACAUCGUGCCACACUUUGCACCGUGGAAAACGGCAGAGAAAUCUAUAAGCUUGGCUUUCGGAGAAUAGGUCCCGGAGGUGGGAUAAAGUGGCUCCGUGCACCUGCAGCUCAGCUGGGUGCCUCCGGGGGAAUCGCGCCACCUCAAGCAAGACAAGACCCACUUGCCAGGAGUCUGGGGGCAGAGAGCUGGGGAAGGAGCCCGCCUGGAAUCUCACUUGCUGGGAGUCUGUGGCCUGUAGUGGCUAUGGAUUCUCCGUCAGCAUCUGCAGUCCUCUACCCCAUGUCCGAGGCAGCCUGGAUCUCCCAGUGGGCAAAUCCCACCUCUCAAUGGGUCCAGGCCCACCGCAUCCUUGGGAGGCAUCUGGGUCUCACCGGUCCUGAGCUGCUGUCUUCUGGGACGACCGGGAAUCGGGCCCACUGGCCUGGGUCUUCUGCUAACAGGGCAGCUUCCAGCCCAAGCCUAACAGUUGCCAAUCCUGGGAGCUCUACCAGACACCCUCCUCCUCCUCCUGUCUCUGCUCUCUCCAGCUCCAUCCUGUGUCCCAUUCCCCCCCCUUCCCCACACCCAAGGCUUGGACCUUAUUCUUGA
rnacentral:lncRNA from 1 species